UACAGAGGUCUCAAGCGUUGUUCGGAAUCACUGGGCGUAAAGGGUGCGUAGGCCGCACGGUAAGUCAGAGGUGAAAUCCCGGAGCUCAACUUCGGAAUUGCCUCCGAUACUGCCGUGCUUGAGGACUGGAGAGGAGAUUGGAAUUCACAGUGGAGCAGUGAAAUGCGUAGAUAUUGUGAGGAACACUAGUGGCGAAGGCGAAUCUCUGGACAGUUCCUGACGCUGAGGCACGAAGGCCAGGGGAGCAAACGGG
rnacentral:rRNA from 1 species